UUAUGGCUCAGGAUGAACGCUGGCGGCGUGCCUAACACAUGCAAGUCGAACGGGUUAAGGGAAAUUUCGGAUGGAACUUAACUUAGUGGCGGACGGGUGAGUAACGCGUGGAUAACCUGCCUCACACUGGGGGAUAGCAGCUGGAAACGGCUGGUAAUACCGCAUAAGACCACAGCACCGCAUGGUGCAGGGGUAAAAGAUUUAUCGGUGUGAGAUGGAUCCGCGUCUGAUUAGCCAGUUGGCGGGGUAACGGCCCACCAAAGCGACGAUCAGUAGCCGGCCUGAGAGGGUGAACGGCCACAUUGGGACUGAGACACGGCCCAAACUCCUACGGGAGGCAGCAGUGGGGAAUAUUGCACAAUGGGCGCAAGCCUGAUGCAGCAAACCGCCGCGUGAGUGAAGAAGUAUUUCGGUAUGUAAAGCUCUAUCGGCAGGGAAGAAAGGCCCUUAACAGGGAGAUGACGGUACCUGACUAAGAAGCCCCGGCUAACUACGUGCCAGCAGCCGC
rnacentral:rRNA from 1 species